ensembl:lncRNA
GUAGGAGCCUGCCGUCACAGCGGCUGGUUUCCUUGCCUUUCUCUUGAGCGGAACGUGAAGUAUUGGGGCUGACACCCUUUAAUCUGCCGGCCCCCAAGCAUAAUCCCGUCCAAGAAUUGAUGCUUUAUAGCCAAAGAAUUGAUGCUUUUGAACUGUGGUGUUGGAGAAGACUCCUGAGAGUCCCUUGGACUACAAGGACAUCCAACCAGUCCAUCCUAAAGGAAAUCAGUCCUGAAUAUUCACUGGAAGGACUGAUGCUGAAGCAGAAACUCCAAUCCUUUGGCCACCUGAUGCGAAUAACUGACUCAUUGGAAAAGACCCUGAUGCUGGGAAAGAUUGAGGGCGGGAGGAGAAGGGGACGACAGAGGAUGAAGGGUAAAUAAGCAGAGGCCAAUGUCCAGAGAAAAGGCUAAGCUUUUCAAACUUUUGUCCCAACCUGCCUCUUCCCUCCCCACACUUCCUGCUUCUUCUUGGCGGCCUCCUCGCACUCCACCCUCCACAGGGCCUAGACAGGGCCUCCCCCCAGCUGCCAGCUUGCAAGUUCCUCCCACACUGGGGUCUGUGGUGGUUGCUCCAGGGGUGGGACGUCCAGGAGCCACUGGGGCUCGGGGCUGCCCAGCUUUGCUGAGAGUCCCGGGAACCAGCAGAGGCCCCUCGGCCCCAGUGCUGGGAUCUGCAGAGGAGAGGAAGAGGAGGACAAAAAAGCAGGUUGGGACAGUGGUCAGCAAAGACAGGAUAAGAGGCUCUGUCGACGUGCCGUUCACCGCGCUUCAGGGUUGUCCUCUUACAGGCCCCCUGGCGGGUCUUGGUCAGUCCAGAGGGCCAGGCCGGCCACCCACCUGCCUCCAGGGGACAGGGUGUGGGGGAGCCGCUGACCACAGCUGCCCAGGAGCCCUGCCUCGGACCGAGUCCUCAUGAGAAUGCUGACAGAGCAGGGACCCUCACCCGCAGGGGAGCAGGGCUCUAGCAAGUGGAGUAUUUUGGAUUUAGCCUCCUGGAGGUACUGAACUUCUUGCUAAACUUUAUGGCCCCCUACAUCUCGCCUACAUUUUUCUAAGGACCGAGUUUUUUCUGGUCUGAUCAUGAAAAUAUAAGAGGUCUUUUGUAAAAAUGUAAGAUAAAUCGGGGCAGUAAAGAAAAUAAAUAUCACCUGUCGCCCUUACUGCACAGAAAUAACAACUGCUCUGAAACGUGGUGAAUAAUAACGCGGGUCUUUUUACACACACGAGGUUUUGGCAGCAUGCUGCUUUUCUCAUUUACUAUUUUAUAUUUCACGAAUCCUUUCCUGUUAAGUACUUUUUAAAGACACCACCGAAGUGUCUUCGUUCGGAGCACACAGAGGUCUUUCGGCUCGGGCCCUGCAGGCCCUGGCGGCGCCGCCGGAAAGCCCGUCUUCUCCGGGGAUGUGAGGGGCGCGGGCCGAGGCUGACGUGGCGGGAGAGCCCCAGCGCGCGGCCGCGUGCACUGUAAACAGUUAAUAGCCCAUCUCUCGCUCUGAGGAGCUCCUCCCCGCGAUGAUGCAGGGUGGAAUAAAAACCCUGAUUAGUUUAGAUCUUCCCCGAGCCCCGGGAGGCGCCCGGGACGCCCUCGCGCGCGCAGGCUCUCGCGGCUGCGGGGCCUCCAGCUCUGGCGCCGCAGAUCCGGCGUCUCGGACGGGAAGCCGCGUCUCCUCUCACUCCCGCGGAGACGAACCCGCUUCCUGCUCGCACGCACACCCGUGGGCUGCUUUCCUUUAGGAGGACGAAGCGGAACAGGUCGGGUUGUCACGGGAAGAAAAUGGAUCUGGACUAAUUCAUGGCACGUGGACACCCACGCGUCCAGAGGGACCGCAGGAUCCUGGAAAUCAUCUCAAAAUCAGUUCGCAAAGAGCUUUCUGAUUCCAUUUUAUGGCUGCAUAGAAGUCCUCUGUUUGAGCCAAAAUUGAGCUAACAAAUUCCUCAUAAAUUGACAUUUGGGUUGUUUCCAUCUUUUGCUAUCACAAACGAAGCGUCAGGAUAAUGGUGGAACAAGUCAUUUUGUACGUCUGAUAGAAUCAUGUACGCUUUUGAAUCUAAGUGGACUGGUGAUCUGACGUGAAUAGCUGACUCACUGGAAAAGUCCCUGAUGCUGGGAAAGAUUGAGGGCAGAAGAAGAAGAGGGUGUUAGAGGAUGAGAUGACUUGAUGGCAUUACUGAUGCAAUGAGCGUGAACUGAGACAAACUUUGAGAGAUGGUGAAGGACAGGGAGGCCUGGCGUGCUGCAGCCCAUGGGGUUGAAAACAGUCAGACACAACUGGGCGACUCAACAGCAAAGUGGGCUGGAAAUGGAAAGGAAUUAGCUGAGGGAAGGCGAAUGUAGUUUCCCGAUAAGGUGAGCAGGAAGCCAGCAGGUUCAGACCUUCUUCCACGGGCAAACACAGGGAGCUGCCCAGGAAGGGGUCUGGCAUGUGCGGUAGUGGGGAGGCUGAAUUCAGGAGCAGCCGGCUGUAGGUGCUGCAUCUCCAAAGCUCCUCUUUCACAUUCCCUUUAACAGCCCAUCUUCGUGUAUACCUGUUUUACUUACUUAUUUCUUUGGCCGUUCCUCCUGGCCUGUGGGCUCUUAGUUCCCCACCAGGGAUGGAACCCAGGCCCCAGCAGUGAAAGCACCGAAUCCUGGACCACCAGCAAAGUCCCUGUCCUGUUUUUAAAGAACCAGGAAAAAGCAUCAGACAUCGCAGACGUGGAGUCCACAGUCUAUCAGUGCUCUGUCU